CCUACGGGGGGCAGCAGUAGGGAAUAUUGCUCAAUGGGGGAAACCCUGAAGCAGCAACGCCGCGUGGAGGAUGAAGGCUUUCGGAUUGUAAACCUCUUUUGUUAGAGAAGAUAAUGACGGUAUCUAACGAAUAAGCACCGGCUAACUCCGUGCCAGCAGCCGCGGUAAUACGGAGGGUGCAAGCGUUAUUCGGAAUCACUGGGCGUAAAGGGCGCGUAGGCGGGAUAGCAAGUCAGAUGUGAAAUCCUAUGGCUUAACCAUAGAACUGCAUUUGAAACUGUUAUUCUAGAGUAUGGGAGAGGUAGGUGGAAUUCUUGGUGUAGGGGUAAAAUGCGUAGAGAUCAAGAGGAAUACUCAUUGCGAAGGCGGCCUGCUAGAACAUGACUGACGCUGAUGCGCGAAAGCGUGGGGAGCAAACAGGAUUAGAUACCCCGGUAGUC
rnacentral:rRNA from 1 species